rnacentral:rRNA from 1 species
UGGGGAAUCUUGCGCAAUGGGCGAAAGCCUGACGCAGCCAUGCCGCGUGAAUGAUGAAGGUCUUAGGAUUGUAAAAAUUCUUUCACCGGGGGACGAUAAUGACGGUACCCGGAGAAGAAGCCCCGGCUAACUUCGUGCCAGCAGCCGCGGUAAUACGAAGGGGGCUAGCGUUGCUCGGAAUUACUGGGCGUAAAGGGAGCGUAGGCGGACUGUUAAGUUAGAGGUGAAAGCCCAGGGCUCAACCUUGGAAUUGCCUUUGAUACUGGCAGUCUUGAGUACGGAAGAGGUAUGUGGAACUCCGAGUGUAGAGGUGAAAUUCGUAGAUAUUCGGAAGAACACCAGUGGCGAAGGCGACAUACUGGUCCGUUACUGACGCUGAGGCUCGAAAGCGUGGGGGAGCAAACAGGAUUAGAUACCCUGGUAGUCCACGCCGUAAACGAUGAGUGCUAGUUGUCGGCAUGCAUGCAUGUCGGUGACGCAGCUAACGCAUUAAGCACUCCGCCUGGGGAGUACGGUCGCAAG